AGUCAAUUAAACGGCACGGACUCGGCGGCGAAGUGCGACCACGGCGCGCCGGCUGUCGACCGCAAUGGAAAUCUUGCUCGAUCUCCACGACUUACUCACAGCCUGAAGUCUCCGCCCCGCUGGAGUUCCGGCGGCCGGAUAUCCCAAACAAAAGAAGGACGCCAGCGAGAUCUGAAUUGAGCGGCGACAUCGACCUUCCGAGAACUGCAACUGGAAGCUGAAGACUUGCACUUGUAUCUAAAGAUUUACUAGCUUGGUCUUUGCUCUUGCCCCAGAUGAGAGCAUAGAGGCCAAUCACUAUGAUUACUGCACCAAUGACACUGCAAUUUUUCAAGAGAAAGUAAAGAUCACAAACAAAGUGGACUUCUCAUUAACCUCUGCUACACUCUGCAAAAGUCUCCAUUAGUUCAGAAAGAAGAAGAGCUAGGGAUAUUGGUCAAGGCCAGAAUAAAGUCUCUGUAAUCCCCAUCAGAAAGGCUCUCACAAAUGGCAUCCUGUAGCUUCCUUCCAUAUCUCCUCUCAAAGGACGAUCUCACCUCUUUCAUGCCUGCAGAGGUGCUUCCUAUCAUAACUCUGGUCAGAACUCUUUUAUCAGUGGCUCCCAUGUUUAUACUUUUGUUAAUCAUCUGGCGCAGUCAAUAUUUAGAAGUAUACCAUCACAAUUAUCUUAUAUGCUAGCAAUUAAGGAACUGAGAACCUUAAUAGAAAUACCUUGGAGUAGUACUCAGAAGGAUCGUAGAUGCAUUUUAUGACUGCCCUUAGCGCUUUCUUGAAUUCUCCACUUGCUUCUUUCUUCAGUGCCUAUUCAGCAAUCACAAACAUAAAGUGAAGAACUUGCUCAGAGAAUUUAAUCUUGGAGAAAUAGUAGCUAUAGUUCUUUGCGGUAGCUUACUUUGCAAUAUUCAUGCCCAUAGAUUUGUUUGUAGCUAGAGAGUGCCAACCUUAGUUGGGGGAUGCUUCUCUUACUAAAAAUCUCAAGGAUGAUAGAUUCAUCACUUGCCUCUCUACUGCAAUGUCUUGCUUCAUAUAGCCUCUUAGCAUCACAUUUGGCAAUGUGUUGACUUACAUCGGUCUGGUGUGACUGUUGGGAUGCAGCAAGAGCCAGCAAAAGCUGUCAUGAAGCCAUAAUACCAUCAAUUGAUCUCAUUCAAUCUUUAGUCCACCCAAAUGUAUCAGACAUCAAUUCUAGGACUUGAUCAGAAAUUCAAUGGAAAUUUUAGGAUAUCCUUAGUCCUUACCUCGCUGUCGUUGAAGUCAAAAAUUCAUAAAAUUUAAAUUAAUUUUUUUUUAUAGUAAGAUAUAUACCUUCUGAUAUGAGUUAGAUGGCUCAGAAAUCAUGUCCUGGUCCAAGUGCCUCUUGAACUUGGUUACAUAUGCUUGCUUGGUGAAGAAGAGAUGGUUCAUUUUUUGCCGAGUGUAGAUCUCAACGAGGGCCUUGUAAUCCAAGACUCUUCCCUCAAGUGCAUCCUUUGCGACUACAGCAUCUCGUUCAUGCGGCUCGAGCAUCCACAGAUACAACACACGGCACAUCUGGACACACCAUCCACACAAUUCAUGCAGUUUUCCUCGCACAACUGAAAACUUCAAAAACAGUCAUGGAUCUAUAUCUAACCUCAUUGGUCGAGUUGGCCAGGUGAGUUUCCUGAAGAUGUUCAACCAAGUCCUGACCGUACAUGGCUCGAUACAUCUCCUUAAUCUGUCGCUUCUGCGUCAAAGUUCGUCGUGCCAAUGAUCGGCCAACGAGAUCCAGCUGGUUCCACGUCGCAUGGAUCUCUCGACAGUCAUUCUUGCAGGUGAUGCUGGAGAAAGAGGCAUAGCUGAGUUCCAUUUCCCUCUGUAAGACUACUACUACCUCUUGAAACAUUCAUACAUACAUGCACACUUAUAUAAACACAUUAAGCAGCUUGUAGGCCAAGGAAGAGAAGACUUUAGGUGUGUGUGUGUGGUCCUCAAGUUGUUUCAGAAAACAUGAUGGCAAAAGGUUGUGAAAAACACACCAACCACAAUGGAAAGUAAGUGUUGCUAACUUUAGACUGAAGAGAAAAAUGACAUUGGAAAUGACAUUUGGGGAUGGUAGAAUGAAGAGGAGCUUUUAUAAUGUGAA